rnacentral:tRNA from 1 species
CCUGGUGGCUCAGAGGUUAAAGUAUCUGCCUGUAAUGUGGGAGACCUAGGUUCAAUUCCUGGGUCAGGA